UACAGAGGUCUCGAGCGUUGUUCGGAUUCAUUGGGCGUAAAGGGUGCGUAGGCGGCGUGGCAAGUCUGAUGUGAAAUCCCGGGGCUCAACCCCGGAACUGCAUUGGAUACUGGCAGGCUGGAGUACGGUAGAGGAAGGUGGAAUUCCCGGUGUAGCAGUGAAAUGCGUAGAUAUCGGGAGGAACACCAGUGGCGAAGGCGGCCUUCUGGACCAGUACUGACGCUCAUGCACGAAAGCGUGGGGAGCAAACAGG
rnacentral:rRNA from 1 species